rnacentral:ncRNA from 2 species
UCUUUUCAAGACACCUCGGGUCAAGGGAAGAGGGUGAGAAACCCUCGCGGUCCCGCCGCUGUAAAUGGGGACGAAACCCGCAGGCGCCACUGCUCACCGUUCGGUGAGUGGGAAGGCGCGGGGAGUAGGAUGAACCAUAAGCCAGAAGACCUGCCUGAGGGAGACCCUUUAU